UACGGGGGGGGCAAGCGUUGUUCGGAAUUACUGGGCGUAAAGGGCUCGUAGGCGGCCAACUAAGUCGGACGUGAAAUCCCCAGGCUCAACCUGGGAACUGCAUCCGAUACUGGAUGGCUUGAAUUCGGGAGAGGGAUGCAGAAUUCCAGGUGUAGCGGUGAAAUGCGUAGAUAUCUGGAGGAACACCGGUGGCGAAGGCGGGUCUCUGGGCCGAUACUGACGCUGAGGAGCGAAAGCGUGGGGAGCGAACAGG
rnacentral:rRNA from 1 species